UGCUGUGCAGCGAUGGGACAAAGCGCCCGUCUUGAGUCUUUAAGCAACCCAGGCUUUGAAUGCGAGACAGUCUGAGGCUACACCUGGUAACAAUUUGCUCUCCACCUCUUUCUCUCUCUCUUUCUUUCUCUGCAGCGUGCCUUUAUGCUUGUUUCACUAUAUAGUGCCACAAGCGGCUUUACGAGCACGGAGCGGGGAAAAUUCAUGUGCGCGGGGCUGGGGAGAGGAGAGGCUGCCUGAGCUGGCGCUGCUGCUGAAAGAAAUGUCUUUGGAACUGGGGCCAAGUCAUCAGGACGUUAAAAACCUGAGGAAAGGCAGUCUCCAAGCCUGGAUGGACGCUUGAAGCCAUUCUGAUGUUUCACUGCUCCUGCACGUGGUGUCUACCUGGAUGUACAAUUCCUUGGAGGCCCUUAACCCAGCUCUGCCAUGUUUGAGCUGGUUUCACUGAUGUCCAUCACUGGAGUGGAUGAAAACACAGACACGACAGAGGGACGACUGAAUGGAGACGGUUGCUCUGAAGGACCUAAUCUGGACACUGCCACCCACCCAGUGCUGCUGAGGAGUCCAGUAGGAGAAGAUUUUCCGUGUUAUCAGUGUUUGUAAGAGAACAAAACCAGAGCGUUACCUAUAAAAGCAGUGAGGAGUGCUGAGAAGAUCUUGGCGCUACUGCUUACGUUUUUGUCCCAGGAAUAAAUUAAUUGGAUUGGAACGAAUGGGAUAUUUAACGGAAGAUUGCACCGUGUAACUUUUGUAGAGCCGUUAAAGUGGUUUGGAUUUAGCGGUACUUACGGCUCCAAAGAUGUUUGGUCGUAUAGGUCCUUGCGUUUGGAAAAUGGUGGGACCUGGAAGGGUGACUUGUACGACUCUCUCCGAGUCAGCGGUGAUCGCAGACUGUAAGGGAACCAACGUAAUUCAAAAGCUUGUGCCAUUUCCAACAGAGAAAAUCGCAAAAUUUGUCACUCAGAAUCAAGAUUAACUGUUAGAUAGACAUCCUAAAAUUAAUAUUAGAUAUUUCAAAAUAAGCCUUUUAAAUAGC